rnacentral:rRNA from 1 species
UCCGGUUGAUCCUGCCAGAGGCCGCUGCUAUCCGGCUGGGACUAAGCCAUGCUAGUCUAGGGGCUUGUACCCCUUCGGGGGUGCAAGCACCGGCGGACGGCUCAGUAACACGUGGACAACCUGCCCUCGGGUGGGGGAUAACCCCGGGAAACUGGGGCUAAUCCCCCAUAGGUGAUGGGUGCUGGAAUGCCCCAUCUCCGAAAGCGCUCAGCGCCCGAGGAUGGGUCUGCGGCGGAUUAGGUAGUUGGUGGGGUAACGGCCCACCAAGCCUAAGAUCCGUACGGGCUGUGGGAGCAGGAGCCCGGAGAUGGACCCUGAGACAAGGGUCCAGGCCCUACGGGGCGCAGCAGGCGCGAAACCUCCGCAAUGCGGGAAACCGCGACGGGGUUAGCCGGAGUGCCCGUGCAUUGCACGGGCUGUCGGGGUGCCUAAACAGCACCCCAUAGCAAGGGCCGGGCAAGGCCGGUGGCAGCCGCCGCGGUAAGACCGGCGGCCCGAGUGGCGGCCACUCUUAUUGGGCCUAAAGCGUCCGUAGCCGGCCCAGUAAGUCCCCCGGGAAAUCUGGUCGCUUAACGAUCAGACUUCCGGGGGAUACUGCUGGGCUAGGGACCGGGAGAGGCCGAGGGUAUUCCCGGGGUAGGGGUGAAAUCCUGUAAUCCCCGGGAG